rnacentral:rRNA from 1 species
GACGAACGCUGGCGGCGUGCUUAACACAUGCAAGUCGAACGGAAAGGCCUCUUUCGGGGGGUACUCGAGUGGCGAACGGGUGAGUAACACGUGAGUAACCUGCCCUUGACUUUGGGAUAACUUCAGGAAACUGGGGCUAAUACCGGAUAGGAGCUCCUGCUGCAUGGUGGGGGUUGGAAAGUUUCGGCGGGUGGGGAUGGACUCGCGGCGUAUCAGCUUGUUGGUGGGGUAGUGGCUUACCAAGGCUUUGACGGGUAGCCGGCCUGAGAGGGUGACCGGCCACAUUGGGACUGAGAUACGGCCCAGACUCCUACGGGAGGCAGCAGUGGGGAAUUUUGCACAAUGGGUGGAAGCCUGAUGCAGCAACGCCGGGUGCGGGAUGACGGCCUUCGGGUUGUAAACCGCUUUCGCUCAUGACGAAGCUUUGUGUGACGGUAGUGGGUAAAGAAGCACCGGCUAACUACGUG